rnacentral:lncRNA from 1 species
GGAGGCUUCUUGGAGCCCGCUAGCAUUGUUAACGGACUAGUGCUGAUGCAAGCAACCGCAAGCAGACGGCUCAAAUGCAGUGCCAGCUGCGCGUAGCAGUUUGCCGUGAGGGAGGGACGUGGGGUAGGCGGACGGACCUAAACUGCCAGAUUUGUAAGGCUUUGCAGAUGUUCGGACAAGUUAGUGACUUCUACAGUCGGGGGUUUGGUCGCC